UACAAAAACCCUAAGGACAAUGGAACAUUCAAGAAGACCAUCUUGAGAGUGUCUUGCUAAGAAAAAGAGAUGUUAGACUAUCUUGAGAGUGUUCUUGCAUCUGAGCAUGUUGUUGUGAAGAGUGGGCAGUUCAUUGUUGAAGUUAAGCCUCAGGUACAAACUGCAAGACCCAAUGAAUAUAGUAGGAGAUAUCUAUGCUACUGUUAUGUUCCUUGGCGGAACAAACAGAUUCUACUGUAUUUUCAAAGAGGAGGAUGCUAGUAUUGCCAAAAUCAAUAA